AGAGUUUGAUCAUGGCUCAGGAUGAACGCUAGCUACAGGCUUAACACAUGCAAGUCGAGGGGAAACGACAUCGAAAGCUUGCUUUUGAUGGGCGUCGACCGGCGCACGGGUGAGUAACGCGUAUCCAACCUGCCCACCACUUGGGGAUAACCUUGCGAAAGUAAGACUAAUACCCAAUGACGUCUCUAGAAGACAUCUGAAGGAGAUUAAAGAUUUAUCGGUGAUGGAUGGGGAUGCGUCUGAUUAGCUUGUUGGCGGGGUAACGCCACCAAGGCGACGAUCAGUAGGGGUUCUGAGAGGAACGUCCCCANAUUGGAACUGAGACACGGUCAACUCCUACGGGAGCA
rnacentral:rRNA from 1 species